CUUUGUCAACCACUGAUCUUUCCACUGUCUCCAUAGUUUUUCCAGAGUGUUAUACUAUACAGCUGGACCUUCCAGUACAACGUAACAUCCAGAUGUACAUUUCCAGCCCACACCCGGUUCCAGCUACCUCACUGAUGUGGAGUUCUAACUGGGGAGGAGGAGCCAGGCUGGCUGGAGCAGGAGGCGUAGACAGACCCACAGCUCUCUGCUGAGACUGACGGGGCCUGGAAGAGGUGGGUGCAGUGGCCUCCCACACAGAACCUCCCUGUCUGAAUAGUUGAGGGACAGACACCUCCAUACAAGGCAAGAAGUGCCCCUGUUCCAGUGCGGCCUCUCAGAGGAUACAGCAACCCGCCUGACCCCUGGGGAAGCUGGACAAGGCUCUGCUGGACUUGGAAGAGUGGGUAGGAGCAGGACAGAUGACUGAGGUGGGGUUGGGAGAAGAGGAAGGAGGUGGGGCCUGCCAGGAGGACAGCGGUACAGCCGAGGACGGUGUUCUGAGGAUGGGGGUGAGCAGCUGGCAGCGGCUACACAAGGACUGUAAAAAGUGAACCCUGUCCCAGAGGCCUGGGCAUGCAAAAUAGGGACACAGGUACCCCACAGAGACAGGACUUCAAGAAGACAGAGGACAACUGGCCACCAGUUUUACCUGAAUAUUUAGUUGGGAGAAGUUAAAAAGAUACCAUAUAAGCACUAUAAAGUCAGUGCUUUAAAAGGAAAACAAACAGCCGUGAAGUGAAAUGCAAAAUUCACCUGAAUUUUAAAGACGAAACAAAGAACUGUGUAUCCAUGGAGACACUUCAGACUCUGCAGGCAGAUCCCGGGCCCUGUCUCACUCCUGAGCCAUAUGUUUGAGUAAGGUGGCUAUGUAAUUGGGACUACAUGCAGUUAGACCACCCAGUCAAUCAGACAAGUGUCCCACCCGCCAAAGAGCACAGCGUGGAGCCGGGGAGAAGGUAGAUCCAUCCACAGACAAGUGUUUUU